GCGGGACCUGGAACAGCGACAGCCAAUGACAGUAAAGAAGCGAAGCUAAGCGGCGCUGGUGAAGCGGCUCAUCAGGUCUAUCAGGAAACCUGAGAAUUGGAGUGAGAAUCCCAGUGUGGAAAAUCAGGAAAGAGGCUGGUAUGAGCGACAGAGAAGUCAUUCAGGAAAGAGGUUAUUGAAUUCAUUGGAGAAUGAAUGCUGUUCUGAAUUUGUAUCUUAAGGGAAAUACUACAAAAUGUCGCAGAAGGUGCUGGAUGGAUAUCUAAAGUUCAAAAAGGAAGAGAACCACACGAGCUGGAGAUUCAGGAAGCAUCAGUAGAAGUCAAUGGCCAUUAAUAAAAACAUUUUUUAUUAAAAUAUUGAAUCUGAAUAGAAACCUCCUGUACUUCAUUUCUUAAAUCCCUUGAGGGUAGUAACUGCAUCUUCUCCAUUGAUAUAGCCCCUGCCAAGCACAGUGCCUGAAGGCAGGUCCACAGACAUUGGCUGAAUAAACGAGUGCUCUGUUCCCAGUCCGUACUUUCUCUGUGUCAUAAAAAAGCUGACAUGUCUGUGCUGCAUUUGAGGAUGACACUGGAUUUCCACAUUGCCUUUUCGCCUCAGAGCUUAUAUUACUUCCUAUCAAGUUAUCUCUCUG
rnacentral:lncRNA from 1 species